GACGAAGGGGGCUAGCGUUGUUCGGAAUUACUGGGCGUAAAGCGCGUGUAGGCGGUUGUUCAAGUUGGAUGUGAAAGCCUUGAGCUCAACUCAAGAAAUGCAUUCAGGACUGAAUGACUAGAGGAUCGGAGAGGAUAGUGGAAUUCCCAGUGUAGUGGUGAAAUACGUAGAGAUUGGGAAGAACACCAGUGGCGAAGGCGGCUAUCUGGACGGUUUCUGACGCUAAGACGCGAAAGCGUGGGGAGCAAACAGG
rnacentral:rRNA from 1 species